AGAUACUUGGAUAUUGAAUUGACUGAAUGAAUAUUCAAAGGCUGUUAAAAAAAUGAUUUCAAUUAAAUGUUUUUCAUUGCGAUUUCGUAGAAAGUUAAUUUCUUGUGAUGUGCAGAAUUUUUUAUUGGUGUAUGAGACGCAUCUUUUAUGCUGAUACCAACAGUGGCGCUUUUCUAGAUUUACUUUUCUACUGUAUGAAUAAUCGCCAUAUGUAUAUAUUUCAAAUUUGCAUUGUAUAUUUUUGUAAGAUUUUAAUGUUUUACUCCUUUUUUAUGUGUUUGUAAAAUUGUUUCAUUCAUAAAAAUAAAUCUUUACUGUGAUUUUCAA